UUCAUGAUUCAGACCUUGGUGAGUGGCGGACGGGUGAGUAACACGUGGGUAACCUGCCCAGAAGUGGGGGAUAACAUUUGGAAACAAGUGCUAAUACCGCAUAACAACUUAGAUCACAUGAUCUUUAGUUUAAAAGAUUGGUUUUGCUAUCUCUUCUGGAUGGACCCGCGGCGUAUUAGCUAGUUGGUGAGGUAAUAGCUCACCAAGGCGAUGAUACGUAGCCCGACCCUGAGGAGGGUAAUCGGCCACAGUUGGGACUGAGACACCGGACCCAAACUCC
rnacentral:rRNA from 1 species